GGGCAGGUAGCGUAGUGGUCAAGCGUCCUGAGCGUAUUCAGCGUUGUGUUUCCAGCGUUCAGCGAAGACCCGGGUUCGAAUUCCGGCCUGCCCA